rnacentral:rRNA from 1 species
GAUGAACGCUAGUGGCGGGCUUAAUACAUGCAAGUCAAGGGGUAGCAAUACACCGGCGUACGGGUGCGUAACGCGUAUGGAACCUGCCCUUAUCUGGGGGAUAACUCGGGGAAACUCGAGCUAAUACCGCAUAAGAUAGUAGAAUGGCAUCAUUCAGCUAUUAAAGAUUUAUCGGAUAAGGAUGGCCAUGCGUAAGAUUAGAUAGUUGGUGGGGUAACGGCUCACCAAGUCUACGAUCUUUAGGGGCUCUGAGAGGAGAAUCCCCCACACUGGCACUGAGAUACGGGCCAGACUCCUACGGGAGGCAGCAGUAGGGAAUAUUGGGCAAUGGGCGGAAGCCUGACCCAGCCACGCCGCGUGCAGGAAGAAGGCCCUCUGGGUUGUAAACUGCUUUUGAUUGGGAAGAAAGCAUCUCAUGCGUGGGAUUUUGACGGUACCAAUCGAAUAAGCCACGGCUAACUACGUGCCAGCCGCCGCAGUAAUAC